UGGGGCAUCGCCAAGCGGUAAGGCAGCGGGUUUUGAUCUCGCCAUACCUAGGUUCGAAUCCUAGUGCCCCAGCCA
rnacentral:tRNA from 45 species